UACGGAGGAUCCAAGCGUUAUCCGGAUUUAUUGGGUUUAAAGGGUGCGUAGGCGGGUUAUUAAGUCAGUGGUGAAAGCUCCAUGCCUAACAUGGAAAUUGCCAUUGAUACUGAUGAUCUUGAGUACAUUUGAAGUGGGCGGAAUGUGUCAUGUAGCGGUGAAAUGCUUAGAUAUGACACAGAACACCGAUUGCGUAGGCAGCUCGCUAAACUGUAACUGACGCUGAGGCACGAAAGCGUGGGGAGCAAACAGG
rnacentral:rRNA from 1 species